UAUGAAGAACGCAGCGAAAUGCGAUAAGUAGUGUGAAUUGCAGAAUUCAGUGAAUCAUCGAAUCUUUGAACGCACAUUGCGCCCUUUGGUAUUCCAAAGGGCAUGCCUGUUCGAGCGUCAUUUGUACCCUCAAGCUUUGCUUGGUGUUGAGCGUCUUGUCUCUAGCUUUGCUGGAGACUCGCCUUAAAGUAAUUGGCAGCCGGCCUACUGGUUUCGGAGCGCAGCACAAGUCGCACUCUCUAUCAGCAAAGGUCUAGCAUCCAUUAAGCCUUUUUUUUUCAACUUUUGACCUCGGAUCAGGUAGGGAUACCCGCUGAACUUAAGCAUAUCAAUAAGCGGAGGA
rnacentral:misc_RNA from 1 species